GUGCACCAGUCGCGAAAACUCUGCACUACGCGAAAGCGUGACAGCGCUACCCCGAGUGUCGUCCGCUGAGGACGACUUUUCCACGCUGUAAGGAGGCGUGGGAAUAGGGAGAGGGCAAGUCUGGUGUCAGCCGCCGCGGUAAUACCAGCUCUCCGAGUGGUAGGGACGUUUAUUGGGCUUAAAGCGUCCGUAGCCGGCUCAACAAGUCUCCCGUUAAAUCCAACGAUUCAAUCGUUGGACUGUGGGAGAUACUGCGGGGCUAGGAGGCGAGAGAGGCCGACGGUAUUCCCGGAGUAGGGGUGAAAUCUUAUAAUUCCGGGAGGACCACCAGUGGCGAAGGCUGUCGGCUAGAACGCGCUCGACGGUGAGGGACGAAAGCUGGGGGAGCGAACCGGAGUAGAUACCCGGGUAGUCC
rnacentral:rRNA from 1 species